CAUUUCCCAAAAUUCCGCGCUGCGUCCCAAACUCCUCCUACAGGAGAACAAAACGGAAAUAUGCGACGUAAGACCUGUCAUUUGUGUGAGGAACGGGACAGAGACCGCUCUACAGUCUCGUCCUACAUCAGCUAGACACGGACUUCAACAUAGACAGGGUCAUGGGGUGGGUGUGUGUGCCCCCGGGGUGCGGCAGCAGCGUCUGCAGGUGAUCCAGGACAAGAUGGCGGCUCGGGCAGAGCUCCACAUUGCUCCUCAGCCAGCUGACCCCUGUCCCGAAGAGAGAUGGUCGAGUAGGCCCUGUUCCAUGGUAAUGACCACCCGGGCUUCCUCACUGCACUCUAUCACCAAGGUGGGGUGAUGUUAUACAAUGCUAAGUGUCUGGUCGUUCACACUGCAACUUACAUAGACCAAGAGGUUAGAAAGCCUGAACGAGUUAUAACGAAAAGGAGUUUUGGAGGAGUUUGAACAAGUCCUAUGUGUGUUGGAAGUGUCUUUGAAAAGACACAAGGAUAGGAGUUGGGUGCUGGGCUUGAACUGGAAAAUAUAAUAUUUUAAGAUGUUUUAUUAUUAAUGACCUUGGCAUCACUGUGUAUUUUGUGUAUAUGUUGAAUGUUUUGUGUUAUUGGUGACUGUCAUGUAUUGAAAAAAUAAAGUAAAAUGUUUAAAAGAAAUAAAGGAAUUCAGCUGUCCAUCA